UAGAGAUGUUGCACACUACUUGAUCUUAUCCGAGCGGUGCUGGGUUUGUGGGGGCGGGGAUGGGAGAGAGUCUCACCCACCGCCUUUAAUAGGGUGGCCGACGGCGGCUACGCUCACUCACCACCACUUACGCCUCCCCCAUCUUACACUGCGAUGAAGACUGCCCGCAGUCAUAGCCCUCCUUAAUUUCAUUGAUUCAUCGAAUCAAUGAAUUGGGCGAUGAUGGCCAAGCGGGCUAUUCCCAUCAAACUAAAAAAAACUCACAAUUUCGAUUCUUUUUUCUUUGAUUUUUUAUUUAUUUAUUAUUGUUAUGAUUUCUGUAUCUUCUAGUGUUUGUAUAGGUUAUGAUGCAGAUAACAUUCAAAUAAAAAAAACCCUCGGAAGCAUUCUCAAAAAUCAGAAUGAAUAUUAUGUGGUUAGGUCUCAGAACUUUGUUAUAAGGGGUUGGUGUUAUUAUACCCUUGAUUGGUUUGCUCUGAAGACAACUAAGUUGUCCGGUUUCGGUACAUUAGGGCAGGACAGGACUUGGUAUGUAUUGGUCGCCUUCGUUUCUUGGUACUUAAGAAUGGCAAACUUAUAUAUAAAUUCAUGCCCUCACAGUAGGGAGUUGUUUGAGUUGGUUUAGCUCUAUUGGGUGUUCAGAGCUCUGUGAAUUAGUCACUUAUUUGUAUAUGUUGAAUGCAUCUAUAAGAUUUAUAUCAAUUUAAAUCUCAAUAUGCAUAACCUUUUAUAAUGUCAAUCAUGCAAAACCUGUUGUAUUCUCUUGAUUAAUUCUCAGGAUAUUGGUAGAUGACAAAAUUCUGUUUGGAGGAUAUGCAGAUAUGAGAUUCCUGGAGUGGUUGGUCCAAUUUUUGAGUUGCUUGAGUUAAUUUUCAUGGUACAUAUUUACUGAUUCAUGGCAUUGACUUCCUAAGCAUCUACCCCUUAUUCCUGAGUCCUGUGUUACAUGGUCCCAAAUUAAGGUGUUUUCACUAUUGCUGAUCUAUCCGGGCCUUCUUGGCCUAUGCUUGAAUGUCAUGUUUCAAUUUUCAACGACUUAAUGUAUGCUUGAAUGUUAUGUUUCAACUUUCAACGACUUAACUUAUAUGUAAGUAAAUUAAUCGCUUGUAAGCUUAAUUUAUAUGAUUAAUUCAAUUUGCAUCAUUAUUCAUUGUUGAUCUGGAUUCAAACUUUUAACUGGCAAAGUUUCUAUCAAUUUAGAUUUCACUUGAAGUUUGUCAAUUUUGGAAUUGGUUUAUGUAGAUAUAAUUGCAAAGAUAUGACCUUUUUGUGCAGAUAAUUACAGGAUACCAUCUGAGUCAUCUGGCUAUGGGAUGGCUUUGGAUGGUCAAAGGUAGAUGAGUUCAUUGGUGUUUGAAGUUCAUAACUAUCUUCUCAAACAAAUGCAGCCCAGAAGAGUUGCUUGCUCAUUUUAGAAGACUCACAAGUGCCCAUGGCAAGUUUUGGCCUUCUAGAACUUUCCUUGAUUUAUUUUUCAAAUUGUAUUGAUAUGCUUCAAGUUGAGUUAGGCUAUGACAUUGCAUGUUCCUGGAUUGCAUCCAAUGAGAAAUCCUCUACUUUUUUUCUGAAAUCCAA